GAGGUCUACUAAAGGUCUACAUCAGGAUCAGCUUCCUCUGUGGGUCUGCAACAGCAUCCACAGAGGAAGCUGAGCGUGAUGUAGACCUUUAGUAGACCUCA